rnacentral:rRNA from 1 species
AUUGAACGCUGGCGGCAUGCCUUACACAUGCAAGUCGAACGGUAACAGGUUAAGCUGACGAGUGGCGAACGGGUGAGUAAUGUAUCGGAACGUGCCCAGUCGUGGGGGAUAACUGCUCGAAAGAGCAGCUAAUACCGCAUACGACCUGAGGGUGAAAGCGGGGGAUCGCAAGACCUCGCGCGAUUGGAGCGGCCGAUAUCAGAUUAGGUAGUUGGUGAGGUAAAGGCUCACCAAGCCGACGAUCUGUAGCUGGUCUGAGAGGACGACCAGCCACACUGGGACUGAGACACGGCCCAGACUCCUACGGGUGGCAG